UGGGGAAUAUUGGACAAUGGGCGAAAGCCUGAUCCAGCCAUGCCGCGUGUGUGAAGAAGGUCUUCGGAUUGUAAAGCACUUUAAGUUGGGAGGAAGGGUUGUAGAUUAAUACUCUGCAAUUUUGACGUUACCGACAGAAUAAGCACCGGCUAACUCUGUGCCAGCAGCCGCGGUAAUACAGAGGGUGCAAGCGUUAAUCGGAAUUACUGGGCGUAAAGCGCGCGUAGGUGGUUUGUUAAGUUGGAUGUGAAAUCCCCGGGCUCAACCUGGGAACUGCAUUCAAAACUGACAAGCUAGAGUAUGGUAGAGGGUGGUGGAAUUUCCUGUGUAGCGGUGAAAUGCGUAGAUAUAGGAAGGAACACCAGUGGCGAAGGCGACCACCUGGACUGAUACUGACACUGAGGUGCGAAAGCGUGGGGAGCAAACAGGAUUAGAUACCCCCGUAGUCCCUGAGCGGGCUGGCAAGGCGCAU
rnacentral:rRNA from 1 species